AAAUAUGUAUAUAGAUAUAUUUAUUAAUUAUACUAAUCGAUUAUAGAUAUAGAUAUACUUAAAGGUAUAGAUUAUACACUGUAGAUUAUAGUAAUCGAUUAUAAAUAUAGAUAUACUUAUGGAUAUAGAUUAUACGAUAUAGAUUAUACUUUCAAUUAUACUAAUGUACCCAAAAAUUAUUUAGAAUAAAUAUAUUUUUCUUUAGAA